rnacentral:lncRNA from 1 species
GUUAACUAAGGAUGCCAUUAUAAUUUAGAAUAUGUAUUGGAUGCCACUAUAGUUCUACUUGAAGAUUCGUCAUCGUGUAGAUGAAGAUGCCACAUCAUCAACGAGUCAAUAUAAAUAAUGAUAAAAUAUUAACAAAUUAAAAUAAAUAUAAUAAAAAAACAAAAAAAUCCCAGAUCAUCCUCUCUUCCCCUUCUUCAUCUCCAUUCGGCCAUUACCCACCGUCAUCUCCGCCGUGCAAACCACGACCACUAUCUCUGGCAGCUCUUCCUUUCAGAUUUGAAGGUGAAUCUCACUACACUAAUUCAUGAUUAAAA